UACGUAGGGGGCAAGCGUUGUCCGGAUUUAUUGGGCGUAAAGAGCGUGUAGGCGGCUUGGUAGGUCUCGCGUCAAAACCUGAGGCUCAACCUCAGUUCGCGUGGGAAACCACCUAGUUAGAGUCCGGAAGAGGAGAACGGAAUUCCCAGUGUAGCGGUGAAAUGCGCAGAUAUUGGGAAGAACACCAGUGGCGAAGGCGGUUCUCUGGGACGGUACUGACGCUGAGACGCGAAAGCGUGGGGAGCGAACAGG
rnacentral:rRNA from 1 species